GGAAUCUUUGAUGUUGAUGUCCUCGCGCAUGUCGCCUCGCGCAUCUUGGCCGUGUCUCGUUUCCAGUGCCCUAAACAAGUGUAAUUUGACAAAUUUUCAUGUAAACAUUGAGGAGUGAGAAAGUUAAAACGAUACCAAUCGAGUUUUAGAGCUUUGGUGACCAUUUUAAAAGAAUAUAUCAUAAAUUCAAAGGUAAGUCUAUCGUACUGCAUUGUCGUAAAUGAAUUCUCAGCUAAAAUACGGCAAUAAAUGGAUCAUAAACUUAGCUAAAUUUACUGUUGACAACGAGGUUGACAGAUCCAUUGCUUUUUUGCCUUGAAUAGCUUUACCAUAGUCAUUUUACCUUAAAAUGUAGCUGCUGAGGAUAUCUCUAAGAGAUUUACCAAGAUUAUUUGCACAAUCUCACGAUUUAAUCAUGCUGAUAACAUGAAAGUCCUUGUGCCAUUCUAUACUUGGCAUAAUCUAUACAUCAAUAGUUCACCAGUUCACUAAUAUAAAUUCAAUAUAUUUUUGAACCAGUCCAUAUAUUAUUAUGCACAAUGUAGUAUAGUUAAUUUGACCAUAUUUGAGAAGUUAGGGUGUAUUUCAUUACACAGACACUGCUGAAUUUUAGGUUACAUGCCAUUGGAUUGAUAUAUAAAAAACACUUGUAAAACACACAUUAUCUUAAGUUCUUUGUAUGUUUGCAUGGUGAUAAAAUAUAAUAGGUUUUGUUUGUGGAAACACCACGUAAAUUUAUUACUGCAAAGCUUUCGAUCCGUAAGCCCGGAUCUUCAUAUUAUUAGCACUGAUGAAGAUCCGGGCUUACGGAUCGAAAGCUUUGCAGUAAUAAAUUUACGUGGUGUUUCCACAAACAAACCCUAUUACACAUUAUCUUGUUGAUAGAAUAGUUAUUUGCAGUAUACUAACUGUUGGCAUACUCUAUUUCAGGACUAUCAAUUGUUUUUGUCACUGGCAGUCUUUGAAAUACAAUCUUGCUCUGUGGCCUUUACUGACAAGUUGGCUUUUACUACAUAUGUGGCACUGACACUUCUUUAAUUAAUGCACCAGUCAAUGUAAACCCCCCAACCAGGGAGGGGCAGGGAUUUUGACUUGGAGGGGUAGUAAAAGAGCGAAAUUGUCCCCACCCCCAGGGACAUCAAUGUCCCCCAGGGUCUUAGCUAGAGGGCCGUGUUAGCCGUGUUAUCACGGCCAAAAAUGGAAAAACACGGCUAGAUAAAAUGAAC